rnacentral:lncRNA from 1 species
UAAAACAGAGGAAGAACAAUUUAGAUUCGAAAAACUAAAGUUUACUACCCCCAGUAAACUUUUAUUAGGGGUAGUAAACUUGCAAAAAAAUAUUUUCAAUGCCAUAAUACACACUAAAACAGAGGAAGAACAACCUAGAUGCGAAAAAAUAAAGUUUAUUACCCUCAGUAAACUUAUACUGGGGGUAGUAAGCUUGCAAAACAAUAUCUUCAAGGUUCUAAGUACACAUUAAAACGGAGAAAAAUCAAUUUCGAUGCAAAAAAUAAAAUUUACUACCCCUAGUAAACUUUUACUGGGGGUAGUAAACUUGCGAAAAAAUAAAGUUUAUUACCCCCAGUAAACUUAUACUGGGGGUAGUAAGCUUGCAAAACAAUAUCUCCAAGGCCAUAAGUACACAUUAAAACGGAGAAAAAUCAACUUAGAUGCAAAAAAUAAAAUUUACUACCCCUAGUAAACUUUCACUGGGGGUAGUAAACAUCGUUUCACUCAAAACCUUCACAGAUCCGGCAUCUCUGCAGCAAUCCGCCGCCGAGGAGAUUGGCAGUCACCUCACUCCAAACCUUCACAGAUUCGGCCACACCUUCUCCAAUCUCUGCAGCAAUACGCCGCCGACGGCAACAUCUCCAUCCUCACCAAGUCUAUCGUUGAGGAGAUCGUUGUCUCCCUGCCUCCGUCAUCCGCCGCCGCUCUUUUUCUCGUCAGUGUAGGCCUUGUCUUCGUGAUCGGAUUCGAAUCCCAUGCCGACCGACAGCGACGAGGCUGCUAGACCUUACAGAGGAUGUGGUGGAGCGACUCAUCGGAGGCUGCUCGAUCUUGACCGUCGUCGUCGGCGAUGCCUGAUGAGAGAGAGAGAGAGAGAGAGAGAGAGAGAGAGAGAGAGAGAGAGAGAGAGAGAGAGAGAGAGAGAGAGAGAGAGAGAGAGAGAGAGAGAGAGAGU